GGCAGGUGCUGUGGUGCACACCUGUAAUCCCAGUGGCUGGGGAGGCUGAGACAGGAGGAUCAUGAGUUCAAGCCAGCCUCCACAAUGGCGAGGUGCUGAGCUACUGAAUGAGACCCUGUCUCUA
rnacentral:sRNA from 1 species